GGAAAAUGACUGAUUAAAAAAAAAACCCUCAAUGACUAUAUUACCAAGCCCACAUAGUAGUUUCUGAGAGACAGCUGUGAUCACAGGGAACAGGUGGUCCCUGUGACUAGGACCUUCAUGGAGUCUGGAUCCUGGGAUGAGCAGUUGUGGAAUGCCACAUACAUUUUUUUUUUUUUUUGGCCUCUGUUGAUUUCAGUUACUGCAAUGUGGGGUGUCUAGACCUAACCAGCACCAAAGUCAGAUGAUUUUCAAAGCUGUUAAAGUAGAACUCUUAAGCUAUCAGUUCCCCCUUCUUUCUUCCCCCCAAUUCUAUGCUAUGGUUUAGAAGUUGUAAUGCCAUUGAAGUAGUUAUUGAUUCAGCUUUGGGUGGCUGAAUUAUGACAGUUUCUUCACCACCUUUCCCUUCCUAACAGACAAAAUAAACAAUCCAUGCAUUACAUAAGGGAGAGAAUCUGUGAAUAAAAGCAACGAAACAUACCUAGAACUUGUACCUUAUAACAGUUUUCUUAUCAGAAAGGCAACCUUGUACCUAUCUAUGUUUUUAUGGCAGAAAUGUCUCAAGGAGGAUAGGGAUGUGAUGACACACUCAAAUAGCUCACAAUUAAUUCACAUUCCACAUUCAGGCAAGAGCCACAUUGUCUCUAGUGGUUUGAAUUGCUACCCUAUGCUCUCAGACAACAACACACUUUCAUAGUAUUUUAAGCUCUUCCACUAAAUAUCAUGUUAUAGCUUCAGUAGGAGAUGUGGCAAGUGUCUAGACAGUAGCAUAGAUUUAGGGAAAUUUAUGACCUUGUCAUUAGUAGGUACAAAGGAAAAAAAGACAAUAGCUCUAUGUAUAGUUGUUUUUAAAGUUUUUGCCAUAAAAAUGAAAUGAGGAGUUAAGUCAUUUAAAGUCUUUAAAUCAUUUAAAGAUUAACUUAAUGACACAUCUUGGCUGUUUCAAUGAUGUCUAGACAAGAUGAAGGAGAGUUUUAUUUGGAAAAUUCCCUCACUUUCUUGUAGCCCAUUUUAGAAUCUUUGUGUUGCUUAUGAAGUUUUGUGUUGGGUGAAUAAGCAUUCAUAGGUGUCUGUGGAAAGUGUGUGUGUGUGUGUGUGUGUGUGUGUGUGUAGGUCUUUCUGAAACUGAAAAUCCUCCCAAUAACUAUGAAAAGUUUAAUUUAAGUCAUUUGCUAUCAAAUAUCUGCAUAGCAACUAAGUUGGCGAAGGAAAUGAAGACAAACCUGGGAGGGGAGUGGUGAGCAGCUGAAAGUCCCAAAGUAAGUCAGUGAAGACCCCACUGGAGCUCAUGGUGUUGGUGACAACUGAGAUUGUUACUCACAGACAAACUGAGCUCCAAAUGACAAGGGGGGUACACCUGCUGCAGGGGUGACACCAGAUCACCUGCGGUUCUGCAAGGCCUUCUGAGAAAUGUGAAGGAAUGACAAGGAAAUCUGAAAGGGAUAUAUUCGAUAGAAGAGAAAAUGGAGAGGAGGAAGGAAGAAUGUGUGGAAGAUACUUGGGGUCCAGGAAAAAAUACUACUACAGAGGAGGGAGGGAAAGAGAAAUGUGGAGGGAAAGAGGGGCUGGUACAGUUGAGAACAAGAAAAAGGUGACACAUGGAGAGGAUUGGCUAAUCUCCCCAACUGGUUUUCUUUGAAGCCAUCAUUAUUAUUUGGUGGUUGAUGUGGGACCCUGCUAUGAUUUGUAUGUGACCAAUAAAUACUUUUUAUCUUACAGGUUUUGACUGUUUCCACAGUAAAAUUUUAUGAGAACAUUGUAUAGUUCAAUAAAGGAUUAAAGUAAAAUUAUUUCCCAUUUUAAUGGGAGUUUCAAAUCUUACCAUAUAUUUUAUUAAAUACCAACUUCAGCAUCUAAGUUUAACACUGACGGCUUUGUUUGAAAGCAAUGCCAUGAAACAACAGGCAGACUCUACUAACCUGAAAUUGAAAAUGCACAUAGAAUCAGCUCACAUUAACGUUUAAAAAACAAUCCCCC
ensembl:lncRNA